rnacentral:lncRNA from 1 species
CCUGAGGUAAUCUCAUCCAUAACAACUCUGCGUCGUAAGCUUGUCAAGGUCAUAAACUUCUGGCUCAUAUCAUCGACAGCCAUCCUAGAGCAAGGCCAGUUCAAGGGAAAAUCGGUGAGAUGCUCAUACUCCUCUAAUGUAGGAGUCAGCUUAUGAAUAUCGAAUCUAAAAACCUAUCUCUCUAGUAUCCAACAAGAUAUCAUGCCAUCUACAAAGCCCAACAGUACCUAGAACGUCAGGAGGGUUAUAGAAUGUCUUAAUAACUGAUCAACUGUCACCCGAUCUGUGGGAGACAAACUGCCAUACCAGGAUCUCAAAGAAGAGGCUACCAAUAUGGGUGGGGUAUGCUCAAUCCAGCUAACAGUGGAUGAAGACAUUUGUAAAACCGUAUCAUAAGACCAUCCAGGGGUCAAUGCUAAACUCACCUCUAGGAAGCAUAUCCAUGACAUAAUACAUGCAGCAUGAUAAAUAACAGUGAUAAACGACAGUAUGAUCUAGGGAAUAGAAAGCAUUAUACAUACAUUCCUAAAUACAUCAUCAUCUAAUACAUCAUCUCUGUAUACAACUGAAAAUAAAAAGUACAGGGAAAUAGGACACAGCCGCCCAAUAUCUAACAAAGACCUAUCAAAAGAUAUAACUAGAAAUGGGCCACAAGUUCCCAAUAUCUAACAGAGGCCUAUCAAAAGAGAUAACGAGAAAUCUAUCAGAAGAAAUCAAUGAUGUCCACAUCAUCCAAUCGAUCCAUCUGAUGUAACUCUUCCUGAGUCACUGAAUCUCUGUCAGAAAGGAUGUCAGGUCAAUACAAAUGUGGAUCGGCACUGGUAAAGCUAUCAGAAUAUGGGCCACCUGAAGGGCCAGCACCAGAGCUUGAUGGAUCAAAAGAAUCUGCCUCGGACGGAUCUCUGCCCAAAAGCCAGAUGAAAAAAUAUGCCCAGUCCAACCUCUGGUUCAAACUGUCAAUUUGCACCAAAUGAGUAGGCUCUCAGAUGCAGGCAAUCCAGUCUGUCAUCAUAAUAGACCAGGGACCAUAUCCCCCUUAAACUAUAUGGCGCGGGUCUGAGCUCCAAUGGUGCAAGGGAACCACCAGCGGUAGAAAGCCUCUUGAGUAAAAGGGCCCUCUGAUAAAGUGAAGCCAGCUAAAUCUCGGUGAUCGGCUGAGAUAAAGGUCAAUGUCGCCUGGCAGGGGGAAAGAAUGGAAUGCAAAUCUCCCUUGUGGUGCUCCUGAUAGCACGCUCUCCUAAAUAGAGCUCCUAGCCUCCAUCAGUUAGGAGUGGAAUCCGACGAGUGGAUAAUACAUACUUGACCUCAGUUGAAAAGCCACCCUCAAAGCCUACUGUCAAAUGGUCCUUGGAGUAGAGAACCCGUGUGAUGACAUUGGUUGUCAACAACUCCAACUGUAAACGAGAAUGGGUAAACCCCUCGGCUAUAGAAACCUCUGCAAGAGUGGAGUAAUGCCACCGUCGUCCCCAUGGAUAGGUCUCCAUACCUAAUGUAGUAACGGGACGAAGACAUGGAAGCCUCUCAUAGGCCCAAAACUAAAAAUGUACAGAUUAAAUAUCUUCAGUUAUGAAAACUGACAAUCCGAGCAAGGGAAAAUUAAAAGAUAAAGAGAAAAUACUCACUAGAAAAAAUGGGUAAAAGCCUAGCCAAGUCUUUGUUAUACCCUCUAAGCGUAGGCACAUCCCCCUAAGGAAGUAGGCAAAGGUGUAUGAGCCCCAGUCAAAGUCUCUGAUACGGUCCACCUCACGAGUGGCGCUAACUAAAGUGAAAGAAACCGUCAAGGAGUUGUCCGCUAGGAAACAACCCCUGAUGAUGAUCAGGAACAAUCACCGAAGAUUACGAUCUCUGACCCUCGGAUCAUCAGCCAAAGGCUCAAUAAUGCCCCACUCAAGGCAUCUACAUUCAAGGGCCCAAAAUGAAUGGUCCGACCCUUAAGGGCCAUGGCAGAAACUCAAAAAAGGAUUGCACGGCAGUUGGGGAAAUGUCAGCCACCAAAGGUACUGGCGCCCCUGUAAACUCCAACCCAGUGAUGAACCACCCGUCCAUCAGUGUCAUCAUAACCUUGCAAUCCAGGAAAUGAAGAGACUAGGUUUGGUGGAACUAGCGCUCAGACAAAGCCUUUAGAUAACCCCAUGGGCGACAACAGGGAGGAGUGAAAAAGAAAGCCUGAAAGCCUCAUGAAUGGAAGAUCUCCCGGUACUCUGAAUGGAGGGUUUGGUACAAAUAGUGAAUGCCAAACCAGUUCCUCCUAGGUUGGGUAAAGCCGGGAACCUACAUGAAAUUGCAAAUCAAGGUCAAAACCCUUUUCCCUUAAAGUGGGAAUAGAAAUAUGGAAAUGGCUAUUACCUUGUUCACAUGAAGGUAGAUCGAGGGAUAACGACUCAAAUCAUCUAGAAGAUCUGGAAUUGUCACGUUAAUAGCUGGACGCUCCCGGUAGGGAAUGGAAGAAGAAAGAUAAGGAUCCACAAUAGGAAGAUCAUCCUCCUCGUCCACGACAUCCGGCCUCUCAACCCGGAUAGGGCGAGUAACUGACUUAGUUAACC